rnacentral:rRNA from 1 species
UACGUAGGGCGCAAGCGUUGUCCGGAAUUAUUGGGCGUAAAGAGCUCGUAGGCGGCUUGUCACGUCGGGUGUGAAAGCCCGGGGCUUAACCCCGGGUCUGCAUUCGAUACGGGCAGGCUAGAGUGUGGUAGGGGAGAUCGGAAUUCCUGGUGUAGCGGUGAAAUGCGCAGAUAUCAGGAGGAACACCGGUGGCGAAGGCGGGUCUCUGGGCCGACACUGACGCUGAUGCGCGAAAGCCAGGGGAGCGAACGGG